rnacentral:tRNA from 1 species
GACUUGGUGGUUCAAUGGUAGAACUCUCACCUUCCAUGCGGGAGCCCUGGGUUCUAUUCCCGGUCAAUGCC